GCCCUCGUUGCUAAGGACGCGGAUCUGUAGCAGGAAGUCAAAAACUACUUCCGGGUCAGAAGCGUAAAGAAGCAUUCACGUGGAAGAGUUUUGAAAGUAACCAAGGUGAGAGAGCCUGGACGGCUUAAUGCAGCCGCGGAAACGUUACUUUAGAAAGUGGAAGUUUGAGUUUUCUCCGCUCUUUAGGCCGGGUAUCCGCAUGGUUUUGUCUUCAGCCGGUUAGCACGCACGAGCGAGCUGCGCGUGUAGAAACUGUCCGCGUGUUUGUUCAGUUCCAUGUUUAGUUCACUUCAUUCUCAGACGGAUUCCGAUCAAGACGUAGUGUUUGUGUCUGAGAGGUCUGCGUGGCGACGUACUGAGGACAUGACAAUUGACCAGGUGAGGAGAUUGGACCUUCAGAGGGACAUCGACCGGCAGUCGCAGCCCGGGCAACAAACCAGACCUCCGGCCAAAUCUUUUCCUGCUGUGAGGCCAAAAGAGACAAAGAUGGAAGAGAACAACGUAGAGACAAAGAAACGACGCAAGAAAGGAGAAAAAUGUCCAGAUGAAAGCAAAAACUCUACUUCAGAAGACACAAACCACACAGGCGAGGAAGAAGAGAAGAAAAGGAGAGCUGGAAAGAAAGAGAAAGAGGAGGGAAGUGGUGAGAGGAGAGUGAAGAAGAGGAAGAACACUGGCAAAGACAAUGAAGAGGAUGAGAAAGUAUUUAAAGAGGAGAAGAAGGAGAUGAUGAUGGAGGAAACUGCACAGGGUUUUUUAAAUAAAGAUAAAGUAAAGAAAAAGAAACAGAAAAGAGAGAGUUUUCCAAAUGAGGAGGACGAACAAGACCCGCCAAAGAAAGCAAAAAAAAGAAAAAAGCCUGUCUCACCUGAAGAAACAGAGCAAACACAGGGGGGCGCUGCAGAGAAAAAGAAACGCAAGGUGAAGAACAAACUGGAGCCAGAAAAUGUGAAAGAAGAAAAGAAUGAAAAACCUGAAACUGGAGAGAAAAACUCCACAAAAUUAGUCAAGAAAAGAAAACGCCGUCCCUCUGAGGAUGGUGUGAUACAGGAGGAAGGAGGAGGAAGCAAGACCGACCACGAAGAAGAAGAAAACUAA
rnacentral:lncRNA from 1 species